rnacentral:rRNA from 1 species
UUCUGGUUGAUCCUGCCGGAGGUUACUGCUAUUGGAAUCCGAUUAAGCCAUGCGAGUCGAUCGGGUCAGACCCGAGGCGCACUGCUCAGUAACACGUGGAGAAUCUGCCCUUAGGUGAGGAAUAACCUCGGGAAACUGAGAAUAAUACCUCAUAGGUUAUGGAUGCUGGAAUGCUUCAUAGCCAAAAGCCCCGGCGCCUAAGGAUGACUCUGCGGACUAUCAGGUAGUAGUCAGGGUAACGACCUGACUAGCCUACGACGGAUACGGGGUGUGAGAGCACUAGCCCGGAGAUGGAUUCUGAGACACGAAUCCAGGCCCUACGGGGUGCAGCAGGCGCGAAACUUCCGCAAUGCUCGCCAGAGUGACGGAGGGAUUCCAAGUGCCUAUGCUAUGCGUAGGCUGUUUUUAUGUCUAAAUAACAUGGAGAGUAAGAGCUGGGUAAGACGGGUGCCAGCCGCCGCGGUAA